AGGAGCCGUGUGAGGUGAAAGUCUCACGCACGGUUCUGAAUUGGCAGCCGGGGGAGCGAUUCCCCGGCUGACCAUAAC
rfam:Hymenobacter mucosus strain DSM 28041 genome assembly, contig: Ga0170424_130